rnacentral:rRNA from 1 species
UGGGUGCGAUCAUACCANCACUAAA